rnacentral:rRNA from 1 species
UACGAAGGGGGCUAGCGUUGUUCGGAAUUACUGGGCGUAAAGCGCGCGUAGGCGGCUUUGUAGGUUAGAGGUGAAAGCCCGGGGCUCAACCCCGGAAUUGCCUUUAAGACUGCAUCGCUUGAAUCCGGGAGAGGUGAGUGGAAUUCCGAGUGUAGAGGUGAAAUUCGUAGAUAUUGGGAAGAACACCGGUGGCGAAGGCGGCGACCUGGUCCGAUACUGACGCUGAGGCGCGAAAGCGUGGGGGAGCAAACAGG